rnacentral:rRNA from 1 species
UAGGGAAUCUUCGGCAAUGGACGAAAGUCUGACCGAGCAACGCCGCGUGAGUGAAGAAGGUUUUCGGAUCGUAAAACUCUGUUGUUAGAGAAGAACAAGGACGUUAGUAACUGAACGUCCCCUGACGGUAGCUAACCAGAAAGCCACGGCUAACUACGUGCCAGCAGCCGCGGUAAUACGUAGGUGGCAAGCGUUGUCCGGAUUUAUUGGGCGUAAAGCGAGCGCAGGCGGUUUCUUAAGUCUGAUGUGAAAGCCCCCGGCUCAACCGGGGAGGGUCAUUGGAAACUGGGAGACUUGAGUGCAGAAGAGGAGAGUGGAAUUCCAUGUGUAGCGAUGAAAUGCGUAGAUAUAUGGAGGAACACCAGUGGCGAAGGCGGCUCUCUGGUCUGUAACUGACGCUGAGGCUCGAAAGCGUGGGAAGCAAACAGG